GACGAACGCUGGCGGCGUGGAUUAGGCAUGCAAGUCGAACGGUAUCAUCCUUUCGGGGGUGAGAGAGUGGCGAACUGGUGAGUAACACGUAGGUUAUCUACCCUCAAGACGGGGACAACCCAGGGAAACUUGGGCUAAUACCGGAUGUGAGCAACUUUUAGUUGUUUGAAAGGUGGCGUAAGCUGUCGCUUGGGGAUGAGCCUGCGUCCUAUUAGUUAGUUGGUGAGGUAACGGCUCACCUAGGCAAUGAUAGGCAGGCGGCCUUAACGGGUGGUCGCCCACACUGGGAUUGAGAUACGGCCCAGACUCCUACGGGAGGCAGCAGUCGAGAAUAGUCUACAAUGGUCGGAAGACUGAUAGUGCGACGCCGCGUGAACGAUGAAUCCCUUCGGGGUGUAAAGUUCUUUUAUAUGUGAGCAGUGCUUCUUAUAUUAACAGUAUGGGGAGAGAGAUAUUAGCAUAUGAAUAAGCAACGGCUAACUCCGUGCCAGCAGCCGAC
rnacentral:rRNA from 1 species